rnacentral:rRNA from 1 species
UACAGGGGGUGCAAACGUUGCUCGGAAUUAUUGGGCGUAAAGCGCGCGUAGGCGGCCACUUAAGUCGGAUGUGAAAGCCCCUGGCUCAACUGGGGAAGUGCACCCGAAACUGAGCGGCUAGAGUACGAAAGAGGGUCGCGGAAUUCCCGGUGUAGAGGUGAAAUUCGUAGAUAUCGGGAGGAACACCGGUGGCGAAGGCGGCGACCUGGGUCGAUACUGACGCUGAGGCGCGAAAGCGUGGGGAGCAAACAGG